rnacentral:sRNA from 1 species
UUGAAGUGACAAAGUGUGCGGCGCUGGUCCCAUCCCACCACCCAUCCAUCCAUGUUUGGUACCCAAAAUCUCAGGGCCCGACUUUUGUUAACAAGAAGGAUAUUGUGGCUGACAGGAGUCGACAACGUGCGGCCAGGAUUGAUGCGGGUGAUGGCUGUGGACAUUUGUGUUUGCCACUCGAAACAAUAAAUCCACUCGAGGCGAACCCGAAAAGGAAACUGAAUCAACCACAAUAACCCGGCGGCAAAGAUCGCAAAAAGUGAAGGACCCCGUCGACCAGAAAGAUUCAAAGUCUUCGACAACUGAAUUAUGGACAAAGUUCGACAAGGUUGCUGAAUUGAUUUGGGUUCGACUGUAUCUCAAUUGACCAACUGACCUCUUCGGCUUAUGUAAAAAUGAGCGUAAAUAUUAUGAAACGCAACAAGAAAGUUAAAUAAUGUUAAAAAAAAAAAUGUGUAUUUCAAGGUUAUUUGGCAAAGAGAAACUUCCGUUCCCUUACAACCACAAAUCACUCAACACUUUACUGGUGGAAGUUUUUGAAAACUAAUUAAUUAAUCUAAUUGCAUUGGCAAUGAAAUCCGAUUAAUCAAUCUGCAUUGCAUACAACAGGAACAAACCUACUUUGUACUUUGAUUAAUUGCCAAAACUGGGGAUGGCGAAUAAAAAUGCAUUUCAAGAUUGGCCAAAGCUGUCCGAAAGUUAAAUCAAUCUUCGUUUCGCAAAGUUUUCCUGCUCUUGCUUUUGACACUUGGCUGGUCGCAUUUUCUGGCCAAAAGCGAAGGAGGGCCAUAAUUGUCAGUGGCAGGUUCUAGUUGCUCCCAAGAUUGGGAAGAAAAGUUGAGAAGGGUUCAAGACGUGAUUCGACGACGUCCUAAGAUGCUGUACAGCCAGUUGCAUGAAUAUGAAUAUAAAUAGGAGGUUGGAUGUAAUAAAUGUUCGACUAUAAUAA